rnacentral:rRNA from 1 species
UACGGAGGGUGCAAACGUUGCUCGGAAUCAUUGGGCGUAAAGCGCACGUAGGCGGUCUCGUAAGUCGGGUGUGAAAGCCCCAGGCUUAACCUGGGAAGUGCAUUCGAAACUGCGAGGCUUGAAUACUGGAGAGGGUCGCGGGAAUUCCCGGUGUAGAGGUGAAAUUCGUAGAUAUUCGGAAGAAACACCAGUGGCGAAGGCGACUUACUGGACACAUAUUGACGCUGAGGUGCGAAAGCGUGGGGAGCAAACAGG